rnacentral:rRNA from 1 species
UACGAAGGGUGCAAGCGUUGUUCGGAUUUAUUGGGCGUAAAGGGCGCGUAGGCGGAUGAUUAAGUCAGUUGUGAAAUCUCGGGGCCUAACCUCGAAACAGCGCCUGAAACUGAUGAUCUAGAAUGUCAAAGAGGGAAAGGGAAUUUCGCAUGUAGGAGUAAAAUCCGUAGAUAUGCGAAGGAACACCGGAGGCGAAGGCGCUUUCCUGGUUGACGAUUGACGCUGAGGCGCGAAAGCGUGGGGAGCAAACAGG